GACGAACGCUGGCGGCGUGCUUAACACAUGCAAGUCGAACGGAAAGGCCCUGCUUUUGUGGGGUGCUCGAGUGGCGAACGGGUGAGUAACACGUGAGUAACCUGCCCUUGACUUUGGGAUAACUUCAGGAAACUGGGGCUAAUACCGGAUAGGAGCUCCUGCUGCAUGGUGGGGGUUGGAAAGUUUCGGCGGUUGGGGAUGGACGCGCGGAUUAUCAGCUUGUUGGUGGGGUAGUGGCUUACCAAGGCUUUGACGGGUAGCCGGCCUGAGAGGGUGACCGGCCACAUUGGGAAUGAGAUACGGCCCAGACUGCUACGGGAGGCAGCAGUGGGGAGUAUUGCACAAUGGGCGGAAGCCUGAUGCAGCAACGCCGCGUGCGGGAUGACGGCCUGCGGGUUGUAAACCGCUUUCGCCUGUGACGAAGCGUGAGUGACGGUAAUGGGUAAAGAAGCACCGGCUAACUACGUG
rnacentral:rRNA from 1 species